ensembl:snoRNA U3 Small nucleolar RNA U3
AAGGCUAUGUUUUCAGGGAUCAUUUCUCUAGUUGGUGACUGGAGAAGGAUGGUUGUCAAAGCCUGGCUUUGCUAACCAUGAUGAAGAACUGUAGUGUUUCUUUCUGAGUAUGAUAAUAGCUGAGAGUGCUGUUCUGUGGCAGCUGCUUUCUGCUGUGGAAGAGUGUCUUGCUCUUCCUGAGAAGAGCAGGCGAAGGAAACACAGUCUGAGUGGU